AACAAAGAGCGUUCACGGGUAUUCCAAUUCACACUAACAGCACUUAUGCUCAAUCAAGCAUAAACCAUAUUAUUUCAGUAGACUGCACCUUUGUUGAAGCUCCAUGUGAUUGCUUUUCCAUAGGCAUGUGCUUUGGUUGUUCCACCGAAGAUGUGUUUGGCUUGUUUGUGAUCAUCCGAGAGAAGGACGACCCAAUGGCUCCGUUCAACAACUUGGAGCUUCAAGAUCAGUGGCUAAUAUGCAGCAUCGACCCAAUAAAACUUAGUUGAUUUCUCCAACAUCAGCCUCGACGGAUUGGAGACCUCUGAUGAAGAGCAGAUUUUAGAGAACUUGCUGCAGCCAAAAAUAAACAAGACAUCAUCACACCACUCUUCUGCUAACCAAAUACACUGGUACUAUAAAGCUAGGCUCAGCUGCAUAGUGCAUAUUUGUACAUUACAUUGUCUUAAUGCAGGAUGCUCUAUAUCUUUCUUCAGAGAAGUUAUCAGUGGCAAGCUCUAUAUCUUUCUUGAAUACUGCCCUGCAACUUUUGCUCUCUGACAAAAUAACAUCAACAUGUUUAGCAUGUCAUGGAAGCAAGCAAGUGCAUCUCAAGCGUGCCAACUGAAUUGCGGCAGCAAUAAUGUUAAUGUUGAUUAUACUUAAACAAUUGAGUUAAGCAUACCAGAUGCAGAAGCUGCCGCCGAAUCAGCAGUACCAGUCUACCAGAUGCAGAACUAUGAAUCGAUUGAGGUCAUUGAAUCAACCAUACCAGAUGCAGUUGCACAUGCGGCCAUGGAGGAUGUUGUCGCCGAGCCUUCCGCGACCAAGGGUGCGACCCGCAGCAUCUGCCCCCAACCCGGAGCCGCCACC
rnacentral:lncRNA from 1 species